CAAAAACUAGAAUCAUUGAACAAAAUUCUUUUCACAAGUGGACCCCACAUUCAUUUGCCAUCGAAAGAAAAACAAACAACUUAGCAUCUUCAGCAUCAUCCGACUUUUGGUAAAUCAUGCAAACCAAAGAGAGAAAUGGCGAGCAGUGAAGCAACUAAAGAAGAAGAAGAAGAAGAAGAGGGCUUCGAUCAGUUGCUGACGGCUCUAUUGGCCACCGUAAUGACGAAACUAAACGUCGCUUCCAUCUGCUGACUCACUUCCAUGUCCAAGAUCUUCAAGGCCUGUGCUUCUCAUAUCCUUACUUUCAUCCCCAAUUUCACCUUUUGGAUAUUGUGCUAUCAAUCAAUUUAUUGAGGCACUACUACCCAAUCCUUAUCUUAGCAGCUUGAAGGUCGAUUGUGCUUGUCUUGAUGAUUCAGCCUUCAAUCUUUUGGUUCAGCCUUUGUUGCAGGAGCUUUACCUACAUAACGUGCAGAUGUUAGUGGGAAAUUGCUUUAUGAGAUUGGGGGAAAAAGUGUUGAUCUAAGGUACUGGAGACACCACUGGGGAGCCCAGCAGACCUCAGACCGGGUGAUUAGUUAGAUCUGCCCAGAGUCCAGAGUCACCUCUUAUCUGCAGUGCUCUUAGUAGGACGUUAGGUUUUUGGGUUGUAUUGUUUACUUUGCAUUUUUUACUAGUUUUAUGUUCUUGUAUGUAAUUACAAACUCAUGUAAUUAUAUGAUGAUGUAAAUAUAUGUAAUUAUAUGUUACUAUAAUUAUCUGUAAAUUUUGUUGAUUAAUAAAAUUUGAGGAGUUAUUC